GGAUUAGCGGCGAACGGGUGAGGAACACGUGAAGAAUCUGCCCUCCACUUUGGGAUAACACCGGGAAACCGGUGCUAAUACCGAAUAUUGAAACAUAAGUGGCAUCACUGAGUUUUGAAAGAAUUUCGGUGGAGGAUGACUUCGCGGCCUAUCAGCUAGUUGGUGAGGUAAUGGCUCACCAAGGCAACGACGGGUAGCCGGCCUGAGAGGGCGACCGGCCACACUGGGACUGAGACACGGCCCAGACUCCUACGGGAGGCAGCAGUGGGGAAUAUUGGGCAAUGGAGGAAACUCUGACCCAGCGACGCCGCGUGCGGGAUGAAGGCCUUCGGGUUGUAAACCGCUUUCAGUAGGGAAGAAGCGAAAGUGACGGUACCUACAAAAGAAGCACCGGCUAACUAUGUGCCAGCAGCCGCGGUAAUACAUAGGGUGCAAGCGUUGUCCGGAAUUAUUGGGCGUAAAGAGCUCGUAGGUCGUUUGUUACGUCGGAUGUGAAAACCUGAGGCUCAACCUCAGGCCUGCAUUCGAUACGGGCAAACUAGAGUUUGGUAGGGGAGACUGGAAUUCCUGGUGUAGCGGUGGAAUGCGCAGAUAUCAGGAGGAACACCAAUGGCGAAGGCAGGUCUCUGGGCCAAUACUGACACUGAGGAGCGAAAGUCUGGGGAGCGAACAGGAUUAGAUACCCUGGUAGUCCAGACCGUAAACGGUGGGCACUAGUUGUGGGAACCUUCCACGGUUUCUGCGACGCAGCUAACGCAUUAAGUGCCCCGCCUGGGGAGUACGAUCGCAAGAUUAAAACUCAAAGGAAUUGACGGGGCCCCCGCACAAGCAGC
rnacentral:rRNA from 1 species